AUUGAACGCUGGCGGCAGGCCUAACACAUGCAAGUCGAGCGGAUGAGAAGAGCUUGCUCUUCGAUUCAGCGGCGGACGGGUGAGUAAUGCCUAGGAAUCUGCCUGGUAGUGGGGGACAACGUUUCGAAAGGAACGCUAAUACCGCAUACGUCCUACGGGAGAAAGCAGGGGACCUUCGGGCCUUGCGCUAUCAGAUGAGCCUAGGUCGGAUUAGCUAGUUGGUGAGGUAAUGGCUCACCAAGGCGACGAUCCGUAACUGGUCUGAGAGGAUGAUCAGUCACACUGGAACUGAGACACGGUCCAGACUCCUACGGGAGGCAGCAGUGGGGAAUAUUGGACAAUGGGCGAAAGCCUGAUCCAGCCAUGCCGCGUGUGUGAAGAAGGUCUUCGGAUUGUAAAGCACUUUAAGUUGGGAGGAAGGGCAUUAACCUAAUACGUUAGUGUUUUGACGUUACCGACAGAAUAAGCACCGGCUAACUCUGUGC
rnacentral:rRNA from 1 species